CUGAAUCUAUCACUCUAUUAGCUAUUGAAAAUAAAUGCCUAUCCUUAGUCUCCUGUUUCCAGCAUUUUUGCCUUUGUAAGUUAAUUUCCCUCCAUUCAAUACACUUGCCCUCUGCUUUGGAAAGCUUGAUACUGAUGUCUGUUCUCCUUUGUC